GCCCCCGUAGCUCAGCUGGUAGAGUGCUACCUUGGUAAGGUAGAGGCCAUGGGUUCAAAUCCCGUCGGGAGCU
rnacentral:tRNA from 1 species